rnacentral:rRNA from 1 species
GAGUAACUAUGACUCUCUUAAGGUAGCCAAAUGCCUCGUCAUCGUAAUAUAAGGUAGCCUCCCAAGCGUGUGAUUUCCCUUACGGGGAUCCUCGCUAGUAGCAUGUGCUUGCGGUAGCGAGACCCACUGUUGCCCCUCAGGGUGACGAAGCGUUGAGUGAAACAGCACCACUGCUGAUCCCUUCAUUGCCCCCCAUUCGACUAAUAGCGUAAGCCCUAUCAAAUUGACGCGAUAGAGCUUGCCGGGGGGACGCUUACGGCUAUAUUGAUAGAAUCGUAUCGAAACGAACAUGCUUGCAGGUACCCUGCAGCGCAUUGGGAGAGACCCCACGCUGCAUCGAACCGAGGCAUAGAGACCGAACAGCCUGUACUAAGCGUGGAUAAAAGAAACGGUCCGUGGUGUGCAACAGACAGCGGUAACAGGUGUAGUGAGGAGUGCUUUGGUAUAGUUAAGCCCAGUGCUAUACCCGCUCGAUAGCUACGGUUGCCGAGGUCACCCGGUAUGCUAUAAAAGCCGCGUUAAUUUGUGACGCGCAUGAAUGGAUUAAUGAGAUUCCCACUGUCCCUACCUACUAUCUAGCGAAACCACAGUCAAGGGAACGGGCUUGACACAAUUAAGCGGGGAAAGAAGACCCUCUUAAUCUUGACUCUAGGCAUAGACGCCAGGUGAUUCUAAAGGUGUAGCAUAGGUGGGAGGGCCCAGCCCGAUCCUGAAAUACCACCACUUUCGACAUCGCUUUGCUAAUGCUGUAACGAAUGAACGACCCCCGUUCUGAAGCCGCAAGGUGGAAGCUCGGUAAGGUCAUAUUCUGGCGUCGUCCUCGAUCGUACGACGGGUUGGCUACCCUGGGAUAGUACUUCGAAUCCGCAAUUCGGGCUUCCGGGUCUGGAGCGCGCUGUGUUUGGGGGAACCAGGUGUGAUAACACGUCCUCUGCGGUCUUUAUUGGUACAUAGUCAGUAGCAGACUAUCUAUGUUGGGGAGUUUGGCUGGGGCGGAAAACUGCUACACGGCAACGGCAGUCUCCUAAGGUCCACUCAGAGACGACAGAAACGUCUCGUAGAGCAUAAAGGCAAAAGUGGGCUUAACUCACGUUUUCAGUAGUAAUGUGAAGCAAGAAAUUGAGGCUUAACGAUCCUUAGCGGCGGGUGCCAGCCCACGCUUGAGGUGAGAGAAAAGUUACCACAGGGAUUGAUAAAUACCCUCGCUUUGUAUCGAGAGAACGCCUUGACGAAGGCUAGUAUCCAGGCUUAGAGGGGGGCAACACGGUAACACGGUUCAAGCCUUUGGCGCUAAACGAUGGGGUCGCUCCCCAGCGUGCGGCGAGCCCAUCGGCAAUCAAGGUGACGUCCCCAAUAGUCAUUCUCUCUCGCAGGGCAAGGGGAGAGAGGGCAACACACCUGGAUGCUGGAAGGGGGUUUCCACAGUAGCCUUCGUGCUACGAAAAGAUCGAUGGUACCAAGCGUUUCGAGGUAACACCUCGACGUGGAGCAAGCUUACAGAGCCGAGGGCAACGUAACGCAGGCGGGUCAUAAUCUAUCGUAUCUGGAUUCCUCUAAUCAGCAGGCAACAAGGCUUUCCCAGCUACAAUGCAACCUGAGCAUGCGUGGUGACCUCAGUUUACCCUCCCUCCAGGGCAGUGGUGGACUGGACCCGCUCUAACAGCAACCGUAGUCGGCAUCAAAGGAUAGCUGCGUGCUUCAAGGACUGGUAAGGUGUGGGCGUAGAUGGGCGUAAGCAUCGGAAAUAACCAAAGUCUGAGCGAUACGUUGAGCGGUUCAAUUACCGUCUAUGCUUAAGGUACAGUCUCAGCCUCGAUAAGAUGAAGGUGAAAAGGGAGGGGGCGAACGCUCACGCAAGUACCCCCCCUUUCUGCUCGCUUGAUUCCUCAGUGAGUCGCUGAACCCUGAGCCCCUGUGCUCAUUCCAAGGGUGAUGCGUUCUCCAGAGAGCGCUGCAAAAGGGUGGCUCCACGCUGUAAUCUCGCAAGGGGUGAGAGCGUAUCACACGGGUGGCUCAACGCUGUAAUCCCGCAAGGGGUGAGAGCGCAUAUAAUACAUAUAUAUCAUGCUGGCGGAACUGGCUUGUGGCCGCCAAGCGUUCAUAGCGACGUGGC